rfam:Rattus norvegicus chromosome 14, whole genome shotgun sequence.
GGGGAUUUAGCUCAGUGGUAGAGUGCUUGCCUAGCGAGCGCAAGGGCCCUGGGUUCAGUCCCCAGCUCCG